rnacentral:rRNA from 1 species
UACGUAGGGUGCGAGCGUUAAUCGGAAUUACUGGGCGUAAAGCGUGCGCAGGUGGUUGUUUAAGACAGAUGUGAAAUCCCCGGGCUCAACCUGGGAACUGCGUUUGUGACUGGACAGCUAGAGUGCGGCAGAGGGGGGUGGAAUUCCACGUGUAGCAGUGAAAUGCGUAGAGAUGUGGAGGAACACCGAUGGCGAAGGCAGCCCCCUGGGCCAGCACUGACGCUCAUGCACGAAAGCGUGGGGAGCAAACAGGAUUAGAAACCCUUGUAGU